CAGGAAUUGGACAAUUUCUAGUUGGCAUCUCGCAGAAAGAGGGUGAAGGCGCACAGUCUCCCCACCCCCGGAAAAGGGAACUAGAAACUGCAGGGCAUAGAUCCAAGAUACAUUUCACAGGAUGAGCAAGGUCUUGAAAAGGCAGGAAGUUGAGUCAAAUACAUUUCUCAGCCAGGACAGUGAUCCAAGUGACCAGCACCUGUCCCUUUCCAAAUGACGUGGGACGAACCAUAUGGCAGGAAAUGGCACACCUCUGUUACUGGGAGAAAUUAAACAGAAGCCUGAGAAGAUUUUUUGUUCAAGUAUGGAUCAUGAGCAUGUUGCAAG